rnacentral:rRNA from 1 species
UACGGAGGAUGCAAGCGUUAUCCCGAUUUAUUAGGUUUAAGGGUGCGUAGGUGGGCGUUUAAGUCAGUGGUUAAAGCCAAUAGCUUAACUAUUGUAUGCCAUUGAAACUGGAUGUCUUGAAUAGGGUAGAGGUAGGCGGAAUGUGUUGUGUAGCGGUGAAAUGCUUAGAUAUAACACAGAACACCGAUUGCGAAGGCAGCUUACUAUGCCUUUAUUGACACUGAUGCACGAAAGCGUGGGGAUCAAACAGGAUUAGAUACCCU